rnacentral:rRNA from 1 species
GAUGAACGCUGGCGGCGUGCCUAAUACAUGCAAGUCGAGCGAACAGACGAGGAGCUUGCUCCUCUGACGUUAGCGGCGGACGGGUGAGUAACACGUGGAUAACCUACCUAUAAGACUGGGAUAACUUCGGGAAACCGGAGCUAAUACCGGAUAAUAUAUUGAACCGCAUGGUUCAAUAGUGAAAGACGGUUUUGCUGUCACUUAUAGAUGGAUCCGCGCCGCAUUAGCUAGUUGGUAAGGUAACGGCUUACCAAGGCAACGAUGCGUAGCCGACCUGAGAGGGUGAUCGGCCACCCUGGAACUGAGACACGGUCCAGACUCCUACGGGAGGCAGCAGUAGGGAAUCUUCCGCAGUGGGCGAAAGCUUGACGGAGCAACGCCGCGUGAGUGAUGAAGGUCUUCGGAUCGUAAAACUCUGUUAUUGGGGAAGAACAAAUGUGUAAGUAACUAUGCACGUCUUGACGGUACCUAAUCAGAAAGCCACGGCUAACUACGUG